rnacentral:rRNA from 1 species
ACGGAAGGCAGCAGUGGGGAAUAUUGCACAAUGGGCGAAAGCCUGAUGCAGCGACGCCGCGUGAGUGAAGAAGUGUCUCGGUAUGUAAAGCUCUAUCAGCAGGGAAGAAAAUGACGGUACCUGACUAAGAAGCCCCGGCUAACUACGUGCCAGCAGCCGCGGUAAUACGUAGGGGGCAAGCGUUAUCCGGAUUUACUGGGUGUAAAGGGAGCGUAGACGGUUUGGCAAGUCUGAAGUGAAAUGCGGGGGCUCAACUCCUGAACUGCUUUGGAAACUGUCGAACUAGAGUGCAGGAGAGGUAAGUGGAAUUCCUAGUGUAGCGGUGAAAUGCGUAGAUAUUAGGAGGAACACCAGUGGCGAAGGCGGCUUACUGGACUGUAACUGACGUUGAGGCUCGAAAGCGUGGGGAGCAAACAGGAUUAGAUACCCUGGUA